rnacentral:rRNA from 1 species
UACGAAGGGGGCUAGCGUUGUUCGGAAUUACUGGGCGUAAAGCGCGCGUAGGUGGCUUCGUAAGUCCGUUGUGAAAGUCAAAGGCUCAACCUUUGAAAGCCGAUGGAUACUGCGGAGCUAGAGUACGGAAGAGGCGAGUGGAAUUCCUGGUGUAGCGGUGGAAUGCGCAGAUAUCAGGAGGAACACCAAUAGCGAAGGCAGCUCGCUGGGACGUUACUGACACUAAGGCGCGAAAGCGUGGGGAGCGAACAGG